AUGGCGCCGCCGGUUGUUCGGGAGCUUUGGGAGAUGGAAGAGCUCGUGGAAAAGAUCCUGCUCAGCAUUCCGCCGGAGGAGCCGGAGAUCCUCGUCCGCGCCUCCCUCGCCUGCAAACCUUGGUGCCGCCUCCUCUCCGGCAACGCGUUCCGCAGCCGCUACCUCGCCUUGCAUGGAACAGCUCCGGUCCUGGGCUUCCUGCAAAGCUGGGUGGCCGGCGACCUCGAGCGCUUCGUCCCCACAAAAAAGUUCUGCCCCCGCAGUCCCAUUCCCAAACUGAAGAGCACUUUCGUGCACGACUGCCGCCAUGGCCGUGUUCUUCUUGGGUGCCUGCAACAGCGCGAUGAAGCUGUCGUCUGGGAUCCCGUGUCCAGGAGGCGGACCGAACUGCGAGAGCCUGACUACUUCUGCGCAGCCGCGGUGCUCUGCUCCGUGGACGGCUGCGACCAUGCAGCCUGCAACUCGGGCCCGUUUUCCGUGGCUUGUAUCGAGGACGAGGGAUGCGUGGAUGAUGACGAACAUUCUCUCCUGCUGGCGUCUGUGUACUCAUCAUACACCCAGAAGUGGACUUCUCCGGCCUGUAUUCACAUAGGAUUUGUAUCGGACGACUGCUUCAUGGGAAGGCCUAGUCUCCUCAUCGGAAAACAACUCUACUUCCUCCUUGAUCAUGGUUUGGGCAUUCUCCGGUAUGACUUGAGUCGGCAUCGCCUGUCAGUUAUUGAUCUGCCAGAAAAGCUGGUUGAGCACAACCCUCUCCUUAUUUCGGGUCCCGGCGGUAGGCUGGGGGUCGUCCACCAGGACAAGCACGGCUUAUGCGUCGUGUACUCGAGGUGGAGCAUUGAUGGUGAGUAUCGUUGGUUCUAUAGCAGAGCAAUUGACCUCAAUAUGCUUCGCCCCAUUGUCCAUCCGAUGAGCUCACAUCCACCAGUGUUGGCUGGAUCUUUGGAGGGCACCGACCUGAGCAUUGUCGUCACAGAUCUUGGUGUCUUCACAUUUGAUCGCAAGUCCCUGAGU
rnacentral:rRNA from 1 species